GAUGAACGCUGGCGGCGUGCCUAAUACAUGCAAGUCGAACGGAGGUUGUAGUAAUACAGCCUUAGUGGCGAACGGGUGAGUAACGCGUUGGUGACCUGCCCCGAAGUGUGGGAUAACAGUCCGAAAGGAUUGCUAAUACCUCAUGUGUUCCUCUGGAUUAGAUGCCGGAGGAAUAAAGACGUAAGUCGCUUCGGGAGGGGCCUGCGUCCCAUCAGCUAGUUGGUAGGGUAAUGGCCUACCAAGGCUAUGACGGGUAGGGACCUGAGAGGGUGGCCCCCCACAAUGGAACGUAGAAACAACGGUCCGACUACACCUACCGGGUGGGCAG
rnacentral:rRNA from 1 species